rnacentral:rRNA from 1 species
GAUGAACGCUGGCGGCGUGCCUAAUACAUGCAAGUCGAACGGACGAUCGCAAGGUCGUUAGUGGCGAACGGGUGAGUAACGCGUUGGUGACCUGCCCUUUAGUGGGGGAUACCAGACCGAAAGGUCUGCUAAUACCGCAUGAGCUCGGGAGAGCUUAGAAACUUCCGAGAAAAGCCGAAAGGCGCUGAAGGAGGGGCCUGCGUCCCAUCAGCUAGUUGGUAAGGUAACGGCUUACCAAGGCGAUGACGGGUAGGGGACCUGAGAGGGUGACCCCCCACAAUGGAACUGAAACACGGUCCAUACACCUACGGGAGGCAG